AUUACUUUUCAACCCAAAAAUACCUUUUAAAACUUUCAGUGACAAUAGUGAGAAGAGAGUGACAAUAGAGAGAAGAGAAGAGAAGUUGUUUUUAUCAUAAACGAUUAUUUUUAUUGUUUGAUUCGUUGUAAAAAAGUUACGGUCAAAACUCGAGUUAAUUACGAUAAAGAAUGAUAAUUAAAGAAAAAAAAAUAUAAUAAAAUAAUAUAUUAGGUAAAGAUUGUUAUAUUUAAAUAUAUUUAAUUAUGGUACUAAUUACUCUUUUAUUCGGUCGGCAUAUUUUAAAUAUGAUAAAAGUUGAUUAGUUAAGUUUUAAUAUUUUCUUUAUUUAGUUUGUAUAAUUAAAAUAUUAUAAAAAUUGAUUAAUUAAGUAUUAAUAUUUUUUUACUUUAUAAUUUUAUUGUUGUAUUGCUAUAAUUUACGUAUAAAUAAUAAUAUAGUCAUUUUAAAUUAAAUUUUAAUUAUAUAAAAAUAUAAUUACAUUAUUUUUAUUUAUUAAAUUAUUUAUUAUUUAUACAUAAAUUAUAGUUUUACAUUAUACACUUCCUACCAAACAAACAGCAGAAGUAAUGAAACUUCACUUUCAUAACUACGAAAUAAACAGCGGGAAGAAAUACUUUUCACUGCACUCCAUUUCAACCCAAAGUCUAUUUUAACUCAAAGUCUAGUUUUGAUAAAACAAACAUGUCCUAAUUAUCUGUGGCCAAUAAAAUAUUUAAUAAAUUUUUUAAAAAAUUAAAAAUUUUUGUUACAAGACAAAGGUGGGGGUGAGCGUAGAGAUGUUGAUAGGUACGGAGUAUUCAAAAUUUUAUAGAAAUUCGAAUCCGAAUCCACACAAAUUGAGAAUUUAUUAGAUGCUAAACCGAUAUGAUUUUAAAUACAGAUAUAAAAAAUAAAAAUUCGCUGGAUUUGAAUUCGGAUAUGAAUUUUGUGUAUAUUCGAUCUGACCCAGUCCUAGCCCCUAAUUGAUUUUAUAUUAUAUGAUAUAUAUAUAUAUAUAUAUUUGAUGUUACAUUUGUAUUUAUAUCCAAAAAUUUAGAUUUUAAUAUAAUAUGUAUUGAGAUAUGAUAAAGAGAAAUAAUUAUUUCAAAUUCGGAAUUUCGGGUUAAGAGUUCUCAUUUCGAGUUUUUGGUCGAAUUUGGAUUUGGAUAUAAAUUUUCAAAAUCCGUUGGUUUGAAUUUAGGUUCAGAUUUUGGGUUCACAUUUUGAGCUCAGAUUUUUUGCGGUUAGGAUGAUAAUGGUUUCCGAUUAGCAUGACAGUGGUCCUCUAGGGUUAAGUGGCGUGUUGGUUAAACAGUAUAAUCUAACGGGUGAAAAUGGUUAAAAAGGUAGAUUUAGCAGUUGAAAACUUAUAAGUACAAAAAGGCCUACACUCAUAAGAGUAUAGUAGUUGAACUUCAAAAUCAUAUUAUGUUAUGCUAAGUGAUAUUACUUUGCAUUUAUUAUAAUCAGCAGGUUAAUAUAUAAUUUUUGUGGUUCUACCAAAUAGUAAGAAGCAAAUAUGUUUUCGCCCAAUUCUUUUUCACCCCUUAACACUAGGUAACUUUCAAUACCAAAAAAGACCCAAAGUCAAAAUAAGAUUUAGGGACUCAACAACAAAAAAUUAUAAUGCGAAUUUUCUGAUUUCAUUGUAAAGAGCCGCACUACAACAGAAUUAGAUUAUAGGGACACAUGUUUGGGACACUUUUGUGUAAGUGUCAUAUUUAUGUCAAAACUUAAAAAAAAGCCUAUUAAUGCCUAAAUAUAAAGUUUAAUCCAACCAAAAAUAAAAGGGUACUCCACUCAACCCACCCCACCCAGCCCAUUCGGUCUGGUUACAAACAGAAAAGAAAAAUAAAAGAAAAAGGAAAGAAAAAUCGGUUACUAUUUCUCCUUCUCCUCUCACUCAAUCCACUGAAAUUCUAGACGAAGAUCCUUUCCUCUAGUCUCCUCCGCCACCGCAGCUAACGAGGUAGAGUUCCGAUUGUUGCUAGAUGCUUAAAUAAAUUUUGGUAAAUUAGCAGUAUUCUUUUGGAUUAUAGCAACACUCUUUAACUAUCACUAUAUACCUAGCGACCCCACAUAUAGCAACACUUUUUAAAAGUGUCGGUAAUUUAGCUAGCAGCAUUUUUUUUGACUUAUACCGAUAUUUAAAAGUGUCGCUAUAGACCGUUUUUGUUGUAGUGCCGCUAAUAACACUUCUUAUAUAAUACUUU
rnacentral:lncRNA from 1 species